rnacentral:rRNA from 1 species
UACGAAGGGGGCUAGCGUUGCUCGGAAUUACUGGGCGUAAAGGGCGCGUAGGCGGAUGUUUAAGUCGGGGGUGAAAGCCCAGGGCUCAACCCUGGAAUUGCCUUCGAUACUGGACAUCUUGAGUGCGGGAGAGGUGGAGUGGAACUCCGAGUGUAGAGGUGAAAUUCGUAGAUAUUCGGAAGAACACCAGUGGCGAAGGCGACUCACUGGCCCGUUACUGACGCUGAUGCGCGAAAGCGUGGGGAGCAAACAGG